rnacentral:rRNA from 3 species
GUAGUCAUAUGCUUGUCUCAAAGAUUAAGCCAUGCAUGUCUAAGUAUAAAUAAAUUUAUAUUGUGAAACUGCGAAUGGCUCAUUAAAUCAGUUAUGAUCUACGUGACAUAUUCAUUACUACUUGGAUAACCGUGGUAAUUCUAGAGCUAAUACAUGCAAAAAAACCCAAACUUACGAAUGGGUGCACUUAUUAGAUAAAGCCAACGCUGGGUAAAACCAGUUUCCCUUGGUGAUUCAUAAUAAUUAAGCGGAUCGCAUGGCCUUGUGCUAGCGACAGUCCACUCGAUUUUCUGCCCUAUCAUGGUUGAGAUUGUAAGAUAGAGGCUUACAAUGCCUACAACGGGUAACGGGGAAU